GUUAGGGUUUUCCUUUCUAACUAAAUUGUUCUAGGAAGUCAGUGUGAAACGGCCUUAGGUUCUCUGCCUCCAGACCCUAAUCUCCUGCCUCAGUCUCAGGCUACAGGCUGGAGGCAGAAGUGGGAGGAUUGCUUGAGCUCAGGAGGUUGAGGCUGCAGUGAACCGACAUCAUGUCACCGCACUCUAGCCUGGAUAAUGUUUUUCAACAAAUAUUAACCGCCUGGGAGGAAAUACAGAAGUGAACAAUCAAAUGAAAUAAAAAUAAAACUGAUGUUAAUAACAAUAAAGCCUCAAAUAGCAACGAACCCAGAGAGACAUCAACCUGGGCUUCCCAAUCAUCCAGGAGUUGUCCCAGAAAGGAUAAUCCAACAGAUGCAGCAGGCUAGAGUCCAAUGGACCCAUCUCAGCUCACUGCAGCCUUGACCUCCCCAACUCAAGCGAUCUGUCCACCUGCGUCUCCCAAAGUGUUGGGAUUACAGGAGUGAGCCACUGCACCUCGCCACGGAAAAUUUCAAUAAACAGCAUUGGAAUAACUGAUCAACAAUCUGAUGCCCUCAAAAUUAAUUACAGAUGUCGUACCAACUUUGUGAAGUUUUCAC
rnacentral:lncRNA from 10 species